CCUACGGGUGACUGCAGUGAGGAAUAUUGGUCAAUGGGCGGGAGCCUGAACCAGCCAAGCCGCGUGAGGGAAGAAGGUACAGCGUAUCGUAAACCUCUUUUGUCAGGGAACAAAGGCGGGGACUAGUCGGCGGAUGAGGGUACCUGAAGAAAAAGCACCGGCUAACUCCGUGCCAGCAGCCGCGGUAAUACGGAGGAUGCGAGCGUUAUCCGGAUUUAUUGGGUUUAAAGGGUGCGCAGGCGGCCUUUUAAGUCAGCGGUAAAAGCCCGGGGCUCAACCCCGGCGAGCCGUUGAAACUGGCGGGCUGGAGUUGGCGAGAGGUAUGCGGAAUGCGUGGUGUAGCGGUGAAAUGCUUAGAUAUCGCGCAGAACCCCGAUUGCGAAGGCAGCGUACCGGUUCCCAACUGACGCUGAGGCACGAAAGCGUGGGUAUCGAACAGGAUUAGAUACCCGAGUAGUC
rnacentral:rRNA from 1 species